CGGGACACGUGGUAUCCUGUCUGAAUAUGGGGGGACCAUCCUCCAAGGCUAAAUACUCCUGACUGACCGAUAGUGAACCAGUACCGUGAGGGAAAGGCGAAAAGAACCCCGGCGAGGGGAGUGAAAAAGAACCUGAAACCGUGUACGUACAAGCAGUGGGAGCACGCUUAGGCGUGUGACUGCGUACCUUUUGUAUAAUGGGUCAGCGACUUAUAUUCUGUAGCAAGGUUAACCGAAUAGGGGAGCCGAAGGGAAACCGAGUCUUAACUGGGCGUUAAGUUGCAGGGUAUAGACCCGAAACCCGGUGAUCUAGCCAUGGGCAGGUUGAAGGUUGGGUAACACUAACUGGAGGACCGAACCGACUAAUGUUGAAAAAUUAGCGGAUGACUUGUGGCUGGGGGUGAAAGGCCAAUCAAACCGGGAGAUAGCUGGUUCUCCCCGAAAGCUAUUUAGGUAGCGCCUCGUGAAUUCAUCUCCGGGGGUAGAGCACUGUUUCGGCAAGGGGGUCAUCCCGACUUACCAACCCGAUGCAAACUGCGAAUACCGGAGAAUGUUAUCACGGGAGACACACGGCGGGUGCUAACGUCCGUCGUGAAGAGGGAAACAACCCAGACCGCCAGCUAAGGUCCCAAAGUCAUGGUUAAGUGGGAAACGAUGUGGGAAGGCCCAGACAGCCAGGAUGUUGGCUUAGAAGCAGCCAUCAUUUAAAGAAAGCGUAAUAGCUCACUGGUCGAGUCGGCCUGCGCGGAAGAUGUAACGGGGCUAAACCAUGCACCGAAGCUGCGGCAGCGACGCUGAUGCGUUGUUGGGUAGGGGAGCGUUCUGUAAGCCUGUGAAGGUGUGCUGUGAGGCAUGCUGGAGGUAUCAGAAGUGCGAAUGCUGACAUAAGUAACGAUAAAGCGGGUGAAAAGCCCGCUCGCCGGAAGACCAAGGGUUCCUGUCCAACGUUAAUCGGGGCAGGGUGAGUCGACCCCUAAGGCGAGGCCGAAAGGCGUAGUCGAUGGGAAACAGGUUAAUAUUCCUGUACUUGGUGUUACU
rnacentral:rRNA from 1 species